CGCUGGCGGCGUGCCUAAUACAUGCAAGUCGAGCGCGGGAAGCGGACAAUCACCCUUCGGGGUGUGCGUCCGUGGAACGAGCGGCGGAUGGGUGAGUAUCACGUGGGCAACCUGCCUGUAAGAUUGGGAUAACUCGCGGAAACGUGAGCUAAUACCGAAUGAAGUCUUUCACCGCCUGGUGAAAGGAUGAAAGAUGGCUCUUGAGCUAUCACUUACAGAUGGGCCCGCGGCGCAUUAGCUAGUUGGUGGGGUAAAGGCCUACCAAGGCGACGAUGCGUAGCCGACCUGAGAGGGUGAUCGGCCAUACUGGGACUGAGACACGGCCCAGACUCCUACGGGAGGCAGCAGUAGGGAAUCUUCCGCAAUGGACGAAAGUCUGACGGAGCAACGCCGCGUGAGUUGAUGAAGGUCUUCGGAUCGUAAAACUCUGUUGUCAGGGAAGAACAAGUUGUGUUCUAACAGGACAUGACCUUGACGGUACCUGACCAGAAAGCCCCGGCUAACUACGUGCCAGCCGCUGC
rnacentral:rRNA from 1 species